AAUGUCAUCAGCAGACCUGUAGGAUCUUAUUGCAGCAUAUUUCUGCUUACCAUCCGAUUCACCUCGUUAUUCACCAAGUACUCUGAGCUUCUGCAACUCUCAAAGAUCAGGGAAAAGACAACCAUGCAAGGAAAAUGGCUUUGGAUGCAGGCUGAAUGCAUUGAAUUCUUUCUUUUAGGUUUAAUAUCACUGUGACAGUGUGCCAUUUACCAGGGCUAAAUUGAAUACAUAUGGAUUUUUAACUGUAUGAAGUUGUGUCUGAGAGCUCCAGCACAGACCAGAUGCCCACUGCACAAGAUGUUAUACAACACAGAAGAAAAAAUGGUCCUUGCUAUUAACUGUUUUUCUCUUCUUGCCACUCAAAAUGAUGAAACUAUUCUUGAAGAAAAGUGUUGGGUCACCAUAUUGUAUCAUAAAUACAAUGUAGUCGGGAUAUGACUGCAACUGCUUUCCCUGCCCUGCUUUGGGUCUACUGCACCUGAAGGUGCCCUUGCAGCUGGCAGCCCAGAGGACCACCACCCUCUCGUCUUCAUUGCACAGUGAAUGAGCCAUGGUGGCGUGAAGGCAGCUGGAGCACACUCCUGGCUUCCUACCAAGCUGCUGUGGAGCCAGGCAGCCCAACCAGGCCCAUGCCCUAGAUAACUGGAAGGAGAUGGGGAAUAUUGUACAAAGGCAGCAUGUACAAAGACAGCUGCUUUUUGCUCCUGCUUCUCUGUUGGUGUCCUCGCACUGGAUCUCCAUGCCCCUCCAGUUGUGAGUGUGCCAGGGGGAGAGUCAAGCAAAGGGCUUGUCAGCAGAGGAGGACUUUGCCUGUUAUCCCUGUGUCAUGGCUCCGGCAAAGCUGUAUCAUUACAGUACCAUCUGGGGAUACUCUAGUUCUGCGAUAAGAGUUGCUUUCUUUUGGCUUACUUUAAAUGUCACUAAAAAGUGACAAAGGGCUCAGUGUUG